ACACUGAAUAGCCAAACCCCUGUGACAUAAUCAAAUGCCUCUAUCUAUCCAACCAAUAACGGUGGCUUCAAGUGACACAUCUAAAACAGGAAACAGACAGGCCAACUGACGUCAACGGGGGUCCCGUCUCCGCCUCCCAACCACAGGAUGUCAUCUCCGGGAGGCCGUCUCCAACGUCGUUUUAGAGAGUUUGGCAGUACGCCCAAGCGGCCUCACAACCACAGACCAUGUGUAACCACGCCAGCCCAGGACCUCCACAUCCGGCUUCGUCACCUGCGGGAUGGACUGAGACCAGCCACCAGACAGCUGAUGAAACUGAGGAGUAUUGCUGUCUGUAAUAAAGCCCUUUUGUGUGGAAAAACUCAUUCUGAUUGG